UUUCUUUCUCUUUUUCAGAAAAAUGAGAGGAGAGAGGAGAGGACUGGAGACAAUGUGAAGUUUGAACACUCAUUUUAAAUUCAGAUACAGUAUACUUAUGAUAUGGUCAUAUUCAGAAUUCAUGUGUUCAGAAAUCUUUCGGUUUCUCAUUUUGUAACAUUUUUAACUUUGAACAUUGAUCUCCAUCGUCUGAUUGCUCUUUCUUUGUUGUUUUUUUCUUUUUCUUUUUCAGAAAAAUGAGAGGAGAAAAAUGAGAGGAGAAAAAUGAGAGGAGAGAGCAGAGGACUGGAGACAGUGUGAAGUUUGAACACUCAUUUUAAAUUCAGAUACAGUAUACUUAUGAUAUGGUCAUAUUUCAUCUGAUGACAUAUUGCUCAUCUGUUCAUCUGGUUUUUCAUACUUUGAACACUGAUUUAUAUCAUCUGACUACUCUUAUUUUGUUGUUUUUUUCUUUUCUUUUUCAGAAAAAUGAGAGGAGGUAGGAAUCUGAGAGGCAACAUGAACUUUGAACUCUGUUUUUAUACUUUUUCUACGUUCUUUUACGUUCAGAAUGCAUGUGUUCAGAAAUAUUUCAACUGCUUAUUUUGUAACAUUUUUAAGUUUGAACACUGAUCUAUAUCGUCUGACUACUGUUUAUUUGUUGUUUUUCCUUUUUUUUCAGAAAAAUGAGAGGAG